UUUCUUUGCACAAGACAAAUGGGCUGUCGCACUCCCGACGUAGGAAAUGAACACACACGUCGCUGAGAUCUUAAAAGACAAAGUAAGGUGUGCACUUCACCCAUGCAACUCCAAUGUCUGCUUCAUGGCAGUGCAAGCUUUUACAACCGUGCCCUUGAUUGUAACAAGCCAAAUAAACUGGAUAACAGAGAAAA